rnacentral:rRNA from 1 species
GAGGCAGCGGCCGAAGGUAGGGUCAGCGAUUGGGGUGAAGUCGUAACAAGGUAGCCGUAGGAGAACCUGCGGCUGGAUCACCUCCUUU